GACGAACGCUGGCGGCGUGCCUAACACAUGCAAGUCGAGCGGGGAUUUAAGUGGAAGUUCUUCGGAAUGGAGAUUUAAAUUCUAGCGGCGGACGGGUGAGUAACGCGUGAACAAUCUGUCCCGGACAGGGGGAUAACACUUGGAAACAGGUGCUAAUACCGCAUAAGACCACGGCCUCGCAUGGGGCUGAGGUAAAAGGAGCAAUCCGGUUCGGGGUGAGUUCGCGUCCGAUUAGCUAGUUGGUGAGGUAACGGCCCACCAAGGCGACGAUCGGUAGCCGGCCUGAGAGGGUGAACGGCCACAUUGGAACUGAGAGACGGUCCAAACUCCUACAGGAGGCGGCAGUGGGGAAUAUUGGGCAAUGGGCGAAAGCCUGACCCAGCAACGCCGCGUGAGGGAAGAAGGUUUUCGGAUUGUAAACCUCUGUCCUAUGGGACGAAGGAAGUGACGGUACCAUAGGAGGAAGCCCCGGCUAACUACGUG
rnacentral:rRNA from 1 species